GGAAAUUUAAAAACAGGAAUCUCCUCGCCUCCAGGCGGGGCUUCACAGGGGCAGGGGGGCCAAGCUUUCUGGUCUUUCCCUCUUGAUCCCGUGGCGCGCUCCCCUUCUCCUGGAGGCAGAUCAAACAGAGUGUUUACUGGGUUGGAUGCAUGUUGUAAUACAAUCUAUCUGCUUCCUUCCACAGGCGCACGUGGCGGGCAGAGGUGUGUGUCACACAGGACUGGACUUCUCCUUCCUUUCUCUAGGUGCGUGCUACAAACAAAGGUAAGCGUUACACCAAACUGGACUUUUCUUCCUCUCCUUAGGUACGUGCUGUAAGCAAAGGUAAGUGUUAUACAGGACUAGACUAAUCAUUUAUCUUUCCGGUACUGACAGCAUAGCCUCUAUGAGGCUGACAGGAAGAACGAAAGACUCGAACUCGUCCCGAACUCGGGAGAAUGAUGAACUAAUCAUUUCUCUUUCCGGUCCUGUGCUGUAUAUCAUACGGCACAGCCUGGCCGAACACAGAGAGUCAGUAAGACAGUGACGAGUUAACAACUAACAUCUGUAAGUUAGACACGAGAGGAGGCGUACAAAUGUGAUAAAUAUGGAGUUCCGUUUCUUAUAUUUUGGCUUUGGCUGCAUUACCAUGACUUGUACACGAGGACUGACUUAGGAGGAAGCUAAUAAUUUCUAUCUCUUGUGUAUGUUUCAGAGCUUGUGUCAAGAAAUAAUGAAAUAAGGAUUUUUAGUUCUCAUAACUUGUUAGAAAUGUCAUAUUUGUUUGCAUAAGUGGUUAUUUUGGGGUAAUUUGUGAAAUUAUAGGUAAUCAUAUUUUAAAUGAACGAAAAUAACAAAAUGUUUAAAAAAAAGAUUCGUUCAUUUUGAUGAACGAGAUUCAAAGAUCCGAAUCAGAAAAAUGAUCCGAACUUCCAAUCACUAACACUCAGUGAGUUAUGGACAAAGCCAAACACGGCCCGGGCCCGCCGUGUGGUGGUUUGGACGAUAUUUCCUGGUGGAGGGGAUGAGAUGAAAUGAAGAGGAACAUGGGACUUUCCCCGGCGGUGGUUCAGAUAUCCUACGGCUCACCCACAGUUCCCUCUCUGGUGGGGCCGCAACACUUUAGAACACUCAGGGCACAAGAUCAGGUAAUACUUCAAUAUCCACCAUACACAACAUAGGCCAAAAUGGUACUCACGUAUAUCUUCUACUUCCAGAAUGAAUUCCCGGCUCGCCCACGCUCUCUCUCUCUCUAGUGGGGCCGUAAUGCUACGGAGCUUCUCACAACACAGUAACAGAUAAUACUUUAACGUCCACAGUACACAACAUAGGCUGAAAUGUUACUCACGUAUAUCUUCUAUUUCCAGAAUGGAUUCCCGGCUCGCCCACGUUCUCUCUCUCUCUAGUGGGGCCGUAGUGCAACGAAGCUUCUCACAACGCAGUAUCACGUAAUACUGUAAGGUCCACAAUACACAACAUAGGCUGAAUUCGGUCUACUCACACUUAAUGUGGCUUUCGGCUAUCCGCAUUUAAAACCGCAACCGUCUUCAAUGUAGCCGUCGUAGCAAUUCGCUUAGCGAUCCUCCUUCACUCCGUUUAUCCAGCUCUGAUUCCUUCGUAGUAGUCACCGUAUAGCAGCCCCACAGACAAACACAGCGCAGCCCAACUUCUCUGCAGAAAAACUCUACCUUAACUGUGUUUCAAAGGCUCCUUUUAUCUUCCUACCAUCCUUCUCAUCAGCCAAUCGAUAAUCGCUGCAUUAAUUCUUUCCACCUGCGCCUCAUCAGGCUGCAUUCGUCACUAAACGGCUGCCGGAAGUCCCGUGUUGCAGGUAAGUCGUCCGGGCGGAACCAUCUUCAGCGGAACCCAAGAUGCUAACUUUUUGUUCCGCCUAUUCCAAAAAGUCAGACGGUGACAUGUGACAAAAAGCUGAGCUCUUUAAAUAUCAAUGGUGCCAGAAAGGACAUGAAGAGAAGUUCCCUUUUUAGUUUGUUUAAAGUAAAGAAACAGAAUGUUAUUUUUUACAAGAAACUCUCAGGAUCCUGUCAGAAUCUUGUCUUGAAUUAUGCAGGGUUCUGACAGUACCAUGUUUUGUGUGGUACCACGUGGCCUUAGAUGCUUUUAUCCAGCCACGUUUUCCUUGUCUUGUCUCUUUUACCCCACUCCCUUGUGAUCCUUGUUUCUCAUUUUUGUUUUCACCUGUUGUCCUCAUUAUUUGAUCCCUAUUUAAAGACCUUGUGUUUGCUGUUCUGUGCACGUUCAUUUUGUUAUAUUUUGUCCUUGACUUCUGUCCAUGCUCGUGGUACAGCUUGCUGUAAGUAGGUAGUCCAGUGUAUUUCUAGUCUAGUUUGUCAUUUGUUAAUUGUUAGUUCAUUGUUAGUUUUUAUGUCUGGUUUAGUGUCAGUUUUUUUGUUAUGUUCAUCCUGUCUUGUUUUGCCCCUUGGUGGGUUUUGUUUUUCACUGUUUUCGUUAAUAUAGUUCUGUAUUGUUCACCCCUGUCUGUGCUUGAGUUCAUCUGUCCAAAAUCCUCACAGAAACCCAAAGUACAGCUGAGAAUGAAAUUGCAUGGAAGAAAGAAUGGGCUGGGGAAGGUUUUCUCAGUCAUAAUAGUAACAGUGGUGGAGUUGGUAUUAUGUUUUCUCAAGAUUUUUUUAGCUGUACUCAAAAAUGUAAAGAUGGCUUUCAUCAAUGUAUAUGCUCCAAAUGUAGGCACAGAAAGGGUGGCUUUUUUAAACACUGUAAAUGCAACUUUAGAUAGGAACCACAUGGAGCUAGCAAACAUGUCUUUUUAAACUAAUUGAGAAAAAAUGAUCUGUGUGACGUUUGGAGGCUUUUUUUUAUAAAACUCUGCGCCAAUAUACAUGGACCCAUGUUAAAGAUAAUUGUUUGUCCCUUGCUAUGCUUUUUUGUUUAAACAUCAGAGUAAUGUACUCAAAGGUUGUUCAAUACAUCCAGUUGGUAUUUCAGAUAAUUCCCUUGUACAAGUUUCCAUCUUUAUUAAAGAUGUGAAGUGUUAAAGUGCCUGUUGGCAUUUUAAUGUGUCCCUGCUUUCUGAUAAGGUGUUUUAAGAUGUUUUAAGUGUUUUUAGAGUGGUUAUACAAAGACAAAAUCUGAAUACAAUUCUUGGUGGGACAUAGGGAAGGGUAAGAUAUAACAGCUGUGCUUACAAUACACUCUCAAUGUCACAAGAGACAUGACAAAGACUAUGAAAAAUUUGGAGAAUGAAAUAAUGAAGCUGCAAGAUGUGGCAGACUCCACAAGAGAAACAGAGCAUUUUAAAGUUCUAAAAAGAAAGUUUAGUUUGGUUUUAUCCAACCUAUUUGUUUUUUCUGCACAAGGUGCUUUGGUUCGCUCCUGUCAUCAAGAUAUUGUAAAAAUGGAUGCACUCUCUCACUUUUUCUUUGGCCUUGAACUGAAAAAUUGACAAAGGAGAUUCAAUCAAUCUCUGCGGUCCUGCUCUGGACAGCUGCUACAAGACUCUGGGGAGAUCCGUAAGAGUGUGGCUGCUUUUUAUAAAAUACUUUUUGAGAAAGUUUCAAGAUAGACCAGAGGUGGCGCAGUCAUUCUAUGAGGGCUUGCCUAAGGUGUCUGAGAAGGCUAACACUAAGUUGGAUGCACCAAUCUCUGCCGAUGAGGUACUUUCUGCAUUACAGAGCCUAGAGAGCGGCAAGGCUCCCGGCAUUGACGACCUUCUAUAAAGCUUUCUGGCCUGUGAUUGGCAAAGAUUUGCUGCUUGUUCUUAGAGAUAGUCUAAGUAAAGGACGUUUACCCCUAAGCUGCAGGAGAGCAAUCCUUACUCUCCUUUCCAAAAAAGGUGAUCUAUAAAAGUUUAAAAACUGGCAUCCAUUCGCCCUGCCCUGCAUGGAUUACAAACUUUUACAUUUACAUUUAGUCAUUUUGUCCAAAGCGACUUACAAAUGAGGUAAACAAUAGAAGUAAUUAUAGCAAUACAAGAACAGCAAUACAUAAGUGCACUGGAAAUAGUCUCAUCAAGUCCAACACAGUAUAGAUAGCCAAGGGUUGGUUAGUACAUUUUUGGUUACUAGUUUUUUUUUAAAGAAUGUACAGAUAAAGAGAAAGAAAAAAUUGAGAAAGAUAGAAGUCCUAUAUUAAUAACUUAGGUAAUGGUGGAAGAGAUGGGUCUUUAGCCAACUCUUAAAGACAGCUACAGAGUAAGCAGUUCGUGUCACGACCGGCAGAUCCUGAGAAGGUACAGGCUAAUGUUUUUUUCCCUUUCUGAGAUGGCACCACAAGCCGUUGCUCAGUGACAGAGCGCAGGGAACAAGAGAGUACAUAAGGCUGUAUAAGCAAGUGAAGGUAAGGGGGUGCUGAACCAGUGGUGGUUUUAAAAGCCAGAAGCAGAGCUUUAAAUUUGAUGCAAGCUGCUAUAGGAAGCCAGUGUAACUUGACAAAGAGAGAAGUGACGUGCACCCUCUUUUGUCAAAGGUGUUGGCUAUGAGACUGAGAAAAGUUAUGAAGCAUGUCAUUCAUGUUGACCAGACUUAUUGUAUACCCAAUAGGUUGAUAACUGAUAACAUUAUUUUAAUUUGUGAAGUUUUGGAUCUAUCAAAUUCAGUGGGCUAUGGAAUCUUUCUGAUCUCAGUUGAUCAAGAAAAAGCAUUUGACAGAGUUGAACACCAGUAUUUGUGGCAAACACUAGAUGUGUUUAGGUUCGGUUCUGGAAUUAUAAACAUGAUUCAAGUCUUAUACAGUGACAUUGAGAGUCUUUUAAAAAUCAACUGUGGUUUAAGUGCUUCAUUUGAGGUCUAAAGAGGGGUCAGACAAGGCUGUUCAUUAGUAGGCAUGCUGUAUUCCCUAGCCAUUGAGCCUCUCCUGUUCAAAUUUAGACAAAGUCUUUCUGGUGUAAAACAUUCUAGUUUUUAAAUGAUCUGCUUAUGCCCAUGAUGUUGUGGUCUUUGUCAAGAAACAAAACGAUAUUGACACACUGGCAGAAAAUAUUAAUGUUUUUGGUAUAUUGUCCUCUGCUAAGAUUAACUGGGGGAAAAGUAAAGCCGUAACACUCAGUGAGUGUUGAGUUGAGCAGAAAGCUUGUUUUUCCUCCUGGGUUAUUUUGAACAAGAAUGGUUUUAAAUAUCUUGGUAUUUUUCUUGGUGAUGAAAAUUUUGUGAAACAAAAAUUGGGACAAUGUUUUAGAGCAAGUUGAGGGUCGUCUCAAACAUGGCUGUAGCUACCAUUGAGGAAUGUCCUCUGUCAUGUUUCUUGAAGUUUCGUUUAAUUCUGAUGUGAAAAUAGCCGACUAGACAAUUAUCCUUGAAUCUAUGGACCGCCACAUGAUAUGUACUUGCAGAUACCAUUACCAUCUCAAGAUGAAAGUAGUCGGCUAGCGGAGUGUUUCCUAAACCAAUUAAAGAAUGCAACGCAGUGUCUCACACAUCUCACAUAAACUUCAAUAACCAAAAAUCCACUGACCAACAUAAAGUUGACGCCAUGAUAAUUUCUGCCUGUGAUUUUCAUUCAAAUGACCGAAAAUGAAAAAGCAAAUUAAAUUGCAUUUGGAAAGCCAGGGGCCUCAUUUCUAAACAGUGCAUUGAAAAUGUUCUAUAUUUUAACCUACGAAUGAAAUUUAGAAUGGGUGUAAAUACAAAAAAAUCUGGAUUUAUCAAACGUGCGCACGUGGUUCGUAUGCACAUCAGUAAGUAAUCAUUGUUGAUAAAUCCCACAUGUUCUUAAGCACCAUGCGCGUUCAUGGACAUUUCCAUUCCGAAACACCUCCAAUUAACCAUAUAUGGUGACAACACCUCGCUUUAUUAGUCACGUGGUUGUACUUUUUCCCUCACCACAAAAAUGGCAAAGAAAGCAAAAAAGCGAAACUUUACAGACACAGAAAUGGAAGUAUUGGUGGAUGAGGUUGAGUCCAAUCAACACAUACUGUUUGGUUCACUUAGUGCGAGAGGAAUUACCAACAAAAGGAAACAUCAUUAUGGGAACAUGUCACCAGUGUAGUUAAUUCCGUGGGGUCUGAAGAGAGGACAGUUCCAGAAAUAAAAAAGAAGUGGUUUAAUAUUAAAUUAUCGGCCAAAAAACGCGUCACAGCACAUCGACUUGAAAUCAGUGCAACUGGAGGAGGACAGACCACAAGUGAAAUUUCUCCCUUGGACAGCUGCAUAGCCAGCAUCAUUGGCGACACAGCUCUGUCCGGGAUUAUUCGUGAUGGGGACAGUGAUGCUUUUGUGCCAGAACAAGCCCGCCCAUCUAAGACCCAAACGCAAGUAACACCCAUGGUUACAGAGGAGCUGGAGGAGCCGGUAGAGCCGGGACCGUCCGUUGCCCUGUGGAGUCGCAGACCCACAGAGCUGUUCUGCAUUAUAAAGGAGUCAUGUGUUCCCCAGACCACCGCGCAACAAUGUUUAACAACAAGAGAGGUCGAACACUAGAGAUUAACAACCUAGUGGCAUCCAUGCUAUGGCACCGAUUAUCAUGUGUAGACCCUCCAACGCAAGUGCUGGCCAAGAUACAAGUGGUGAUGGUGGGUUUUUUCUGGGACCGUAUGCAUUGGGUCCCGCAGAGCAUGCUGUUUCUGGCGAAAAAGGAAGGAUUGUCACUCUGGGACAUGUGGUUGAUCUAUGUGGACCUAUGUUGUAGUGAUGGGUCGUUCGCGAACGAGCCGGCUCUAAGAGCCGAUUCUUUGUAGUGAACGAGAAGAGCCGACUCCCGUCAACGAGAGCCGAAUCUUCAGCCGCAGGCAGGGGCGGGACCUAUUUGUAUGUGGCACAAAAUGCAUCCAAUCAAAUGGGAAGACAGACUAGGAUUAUACUGUUAUGUGAAAGAAUAAUGGGGGAUAUAUGCUGCAAAAAGCCAGUGAAGUGGUACAGUAACAGGCCAGUAUAAUGUAAGCGCGUUGGGACUUGGGAGGAAGUUAAGGCAUUUACCAAAAAGAAGAAGAAAGUUGAGGCAAGCUGAGGCAUUUAUUAUAAAUGCUAACCUGCACUAAAGACUAAUUUUGACUAUUUAUUUGGUUUGCUGUGGUUCUGUGUUCAUUGUUCAAUUGUUUAAUUAAAGUUUUAUUAUAAUGUUAAUUAUAACUAUGUAUUUUUUGACGAAAAAAAUCAUAAAAAUACAGCUUUUAUAAAAACAAUUGAUACAAAAAUUGCAUACCAAUACACAAACCAUUCACAAUUGCUACAUUUGGCUUUAAAAAGAAGUCUCCCAGAUACUAAAAAUUAAUAAAGAGCUGGAGCCGUAAGAGUCGGCUCUUCUAAGGGAGCCGAGCCAGAAGAGCCGAAUCUAUGAAAAGAGCCGGAUUGCCCAUCACUACAACUGGUGUUUUAAAGAUGUUUUAUGUACUGUUGUGGAAAAUAAUGUUUUUUAGGAUUGUUUUGAGCUAAAUUGUCCUGUUUGUAUUUUUUCUUGUUUUUGUUUAUUUAUAAUUAUGGUAUUGUAGAAAAUUUUGUUAUGGAUAUUUAUAUAAAUUAGAGUAUUAAAAUCAUUUGUGAGCAUUGUCUUUUUAAUGGUACGUUGCUAAUUAAUUU